rnacentral:rRNA from 1 species
GUGGGGAAUCUUCCGCAAUGGGCGAAAGCCUGACGGAGCAACGCCGCGUGAGUGAAGAAGGGUUUCGGCUCGUAAAGCUCUGUUGUCGGGGACGAAUGUGCAAGAUGCGAACAGUUUCUUGCAAUGACGGUACCUGACGAGGAAGCCACGGCUAACUACGUGCCAGCAGCCGCGGUAAUACGUAGGUGGCGAGCGUUGUCCGGAAUUAUUGGGCGUAAAGGGAGCGCAGGCGGGAAGGCAAGUCAGUCUUAAAAGUGCGGGGCUCAACCCCGUGAUGGGAUUGAAACUGUCUUUCUUGAGUGCAGGAGAGGAAAGCGGAAUUCCUAGUGUAGCGGUGAAAUGCGUAGAUAUUAGGAGGAACACCAGUGGCGAAGGCGGCUUUCUGGACUGUAACUGACGCUGAGGCUCGAAAGCGUGGGGAGCGAACAGG